rnacentral:precursor_RNA from 1 species
ACAAGUUCACAGUGAGGGAGGCCCUCAAAGAAAACCAAGUUUCCCUCACUGUAAACAGAGU